ACAGCUUAAGAAGUGUGGGAGUCACUUCCAGCCACCAGAGCUGGCACACGCUGCUGCUUGGUGGGGAGCAGCAAUGGCCUCUCCUCUACAGUCCUCAAUGCUCAACAAAUCCAAAAGGAUUCCCCUUAAUUUCUGGAGCAAAUAUUUGCCGGUUCCUAAACCCCUUUGGUUUUUUCCUAUUUUUUCUUUUUUUUUUUGUUUUUAUUCUGCAAAUAAAUGUCUGCCAUUCCCUCAAGCAACUGCUGGACGCUGCUGCUCAGGAAUGACCAUCAAUGAUCAGCCAAAUAUCAACCAGCAGAGCAGCAGUGCAACCCAGAGCUGCUGUCAGUGUGGUGAUUUUACAUCUCAUACACCUGGACACACCAGCCCCUUCCUGGAUGUUACAGUCAUGUCUCAGUCCACACCACAGCUAUCCCCUCACUCUUCUUUCAGAGUUAGGUCUCUCUCACACAUUAUAAGAGCAAAACAAGAAUAAUAACAGGUCCUGUCUGGACUAUCCGCUCCCUUCUGCUUUCUCUGGCAAAAGCCUUGUACUUGAAGCCAUGUCCCAAAGCACCUCCCCAGCCCAGAGUGCACCCUGACCAAGAAGAUACAACAAUUAAAAACUGCAAUUAAAGCAACACUCCAGUUUGAAAAUGAACACCAUUUUCUGCCCAUCCUCCCUGCUCUGUUACCAAUAAAACACUUACAGACACUAUUCAUGCAGACAUAAAGUGCUAAUGGCUACCUGUUAACGUGUUUCAUCAUGCCAACAUUUUUGCUCUGAUUUUGACAGUUCCCUUUUUGUUAUUUUAAGCUAAGGGAGCACUAAUCUGGGUUGGAACUGAAGGCUGCAAGAAUUACAAUCUACAGCAACUGCACAACUAAUGACACCAUUUCCUUCCACUCUGCACCAUUUCAUGGACAGUUUUCUUGCAGCCAAGCUCCUUUCCAGACUAUAAGGAGUUGGAAGUGCAGGAGCAUAGAAGUAGGGUGGGAAGAUUGUAAGAUGUUGCUAAGAAAUCCCAUGAAUUCUUGGCCUGGCCCUGUGUGUUUGGGGGCCAAUGGGGGGGAAGAGAGCAAUGUGAACACCAAAAUCAAACAUACCGGGAAAGUCACUUUAAAUGGCUUAAGGAGAAAAAAAAUUAAGUGGCCGUUCUUAUAUGACUUCAGGGAUGUGUCUUCAGGGCUAGAACAACUGCUGGUGCAAAUUGGCCAUGUGAUUUACACCUCAAGGGCUGCCCUAGGUUUGACUACAGGUGGUUCACCAGCUCUUCUGGAUGUGGAAAGAACAAAACUCCCUGGGUAUCACCUCAGCAGUCGCUGACUCCCGCUGGACAUUUGGACAGGUACCUAAUGCCUGGUGUCCUCCACACUCAAAAAUGUGCUGGGCAUGUCUCUGCGUGCCCCACAUGAGCACACACUGAGAAUACACCUACUGACAUCCACGGUGUUACAGCAGGUGAAAAUCUGCUUGUGUGGAAGAAGAGCCUGGUCCUCUGUGAUUACCAACAGCACGGGUCAGAGCCAUGAUCUGAUUUUCCACAGAGCAGGAGAAGAGCAGAAGCUCUCUGGUCUCCAGAGCAGUUGCAGCCCUGCAGAGAUACCCAGCGGCUUUGAGCAUACACAGAGGGAUAAUUCCUUUCCCCAGCUUUGCAAUUGUUUGUUAGAGCAAAUUAAGAUUGCUAACAAGUCUUACUGGAGCCCAUUGCAAGGAGGUUAAGAAACACGACUUAUCUGAUGCAAUCAGCAAUGUAAUGCAACCUCCCAAGCCCCAGUUCAGGCAAAAUAUAUGCAAGUAACCAAAAGGGAUGGGCAUAACCUUGAGGGAAGAGUUGGGGAUGCUCCAAUCCAACCUGCAGUGCCAGAGAGGAAAGACAAGAGAGCACAGCAUGGAACAGAGAAUUCCCUGCCUGCUUUGUGUCUUUUGCUGCUUCCAAGGACUCCCACUCUGUUCAGGCCAGAAAGAGGACACCGGUUUGGAAGGAUCUCUGGUCUGACUCAACAUGGGUAGUUUUUAAUUUUUUAUGAAAGAGACUGCUCUGCAGUACAAGCAUCACAACAGGUUGAGGCUGCCUCAUCUGCAGACCCCUUACGCUCCGGGGAUCCUGACCAUGAUGCUCCCAGGACCCUGACCAUGAUGCUCCCAGGAUCCUGACCAUGAUGCUCCCAGGAUCCUGAUCAUGACAGGAUUUAAAAGCCCUUUGUUGGGCUGUGUUACAUGGUGUGAUCUAGAAAGCCGUCACAGCCGAGGCACCGUGGGCUUUCGGCUGCGCCGACGCUCGGGCUCCCCCCUUGCCUACACUGGACUUUGAGAAGGCGUUGAGCCAGCUCAGAUAAGUCAGCACUUUCUAUCAACACCCCUUCCAAGCCAAGCUGCACAUUGCGACGCCUCUUCCAGCACGGGCUGGUGGAGCUGGGCUUCACCCUGGCACAGCUCCCAGACAAAAGGUGGGCUGCUCCACCAUGCUGCUCCAGCAUGCUGGCCCACUCUCAGCUCCCCCCAGGUCCUCUCCUGGCAGCGUCCUUCCCAUCCCAAACACAAACAAAUGGGUGAGGAGCAGGUGACAGAAGCGUAACAGAUGCCUAAAAUGGUUUAGAGUGAUCUACGAGCAUCUUUUGGUUGUAAUGUUCCAUUAAUGUGACAUUUAUGUGGGGUAAUAUAAUACCGCUCACUUAGGAGCACCUACACCAGCCAGUCAGGUUUCUGUGUGCACAAAGGAUGAUGGGGAUAACUGGGAGGGUUCUCGCAUGGCCAGAGACCCUACAGAUGGAGUUACAGGGGACAGGAGGCACCACUGCUCAAAAGGGACAUGCUGGGUCUCUCCCUGAGGGAAUGGAGGACAGAGCAAUGUCUCAGGAGGCAGAACGAGAGAGCCACAAAUGGGGAAAAAACCUGGCUUGAACCUAUGGAGCUGAACAGUCCCUCUCUGCAGAAUGGGAAACACAAUAUCUAAGGAAGGUCUGCCCCAGUCCAAAGGCACAGCCUUGCUGUCAUCUCCAUGCAUCCAUCUGAUUUCACAGCAUGCAGUGUUACACUCUGUAGCUAAAUCCACCUCUAAUGUCACACGGGCCUUAUAAGGGCUCCUGUUUUGUUACCCUGAUUUAUAAACACCACUGCAGUGGGCUGGAGAAGGGAUGGCCUCGCAACCGCAAGCCUUCGUUAUCCCCCACAAAUGACUUGUUUGCAGCUCUUGAACUGCCUAAUUUAUUUUGCCCCUAUGUUUUGGCCAUCCAUCUAGUCUUUUCCUAAUGGUGCUCCGAACGCUGACACUUUGGGAAACGUCUAAAAUGCUGUAACCCUUACAUGGCCCCGCAGAGGUGAAAGGACCAAGGGCAACCGCUGAAUCUUCCCAGAACAACAGAGGGAUCAUCCAUCUCCUCUUCCCUCCUCCCCGCCCACCACUCCACCCCAGGCACUGUUCUCAUCUCAAUGUGCUUGAGCAAAGCACAAAACCAGGCGAGAUGUGGCCACCUCAGCACCUCUGGAUGUCGAAGGCCACAGACUGUACCCGGUGACCUGGAAGGUGUCCCCCUCUCCAGACAUUUGCUCCUACAGCUCUGCCUCUAAGAAAAACCAUCAGAGAAAAAAAUCACAAGGUCGGUUGAGUUUGGGCUGUGGCAAUGCCAUUUGGAGAAGAAGGGGGAAAAUCAAUAGGUACAGUCUGCAUUUCAGGCAAAUGGGGAAGGAAUUUAAAUCAAAAUCGAGUCUGAUCAAAAACUCAAGUCAACAGAAAGAGUUCCACGGAUUUGGCACCAGGUUUCAUCAUUUAGGUGCUCACUGAGUAAAAAAUGAACAAUCAGCACUUUGGAAUAAAUGCAACAAGUAUCACAGGGUGUUGUCACCAGCCUUUUGUGGGACACCCACGAAUCCAGAAGAGGCAUCUAGUGUCACAGGGAAAAUGCUGAGGACACAGAAAGUGUCACCGAAGGACAGGCAGAACAAACACAGAACAAACUCCUACCAACAGAUUAAAUUCACGUCGCGGUAUUUUACCCGCAUUUUGCACUAGUCAGAUACCUUGAAAUAUGUGCACGCAACCAGAGCCACGACACCAGACCUUUAAAGACCUGAGAGCCGCAGAUUAAAAACAUGUUGGAACGCUUACCGUGUCCAGUGCCAAAAAUGUGUCUCUAACCUGUAGGAAGAAAUGGGUGUGGAGCCGCUCACAGAACGAUCGCUGCACUCACACGGCAGGGUACAACGUCCCCCUCUUUGUUUCUCCCUUGUGAGAAAAAACAGCGACUAAAAUAUGACCGAGGAGCUGCCUCAGCUCCCCAAAUUUUUUGAGAAGUACACAGACUCGGACGGGAAAACGAGGUGGGAAUUAGAGAAAUCCCACGUAAUUCACAAAGACUAAAGCCACUUUGCCACGGACCAACAUGAACCACUGAUCUCAGCGCUCAGUUGGUGCUUGCUGCUUCUUUUUGGGGACUUCAGUCAGCUCCUGCAUGGCACUGAAGCGCUGUGAGUAGAUACAAAAACAUACACAAAGCCUAAAAGUAUUUCAUUGGAAUUGAAGCUCAAUUUACAGCUCCCGAGACUCAAGGGUGUGUUUGAACAGCUCUUUGUUGCAGGGUUUUGUCAAGGUAUGUUCUGACUUGUCCCCUGCCUGGUUGUGCAGUAAUUCUUGAUACUGAUAGUCAAUUACUUUGUUCACGUCACUCAAACACAGGCUUUUUUUCCCCCUUUCUUUCUCUCUCUCUCUCGGCACGGCUAAUCCGGGAAAGACAACACAGAGCUAAACCACUGCUGCCAAAGGCAUGAACUCCUGGCCAGUUGGGGUGGUGCUGCCCUCCAGCCCUGCCAGCACAGGUAGCAAAGUGACCUCCGGAGCAAAGAGCCCUCCUUAUCUCUCUUAAAAUACCAGUGGGCCCAGGCUCUGAAACUUCCUUCCCAACGGGAUAAGCACUUACCCAGGUAAUCUCAUUACAGCCAUUGUUCUCUGAAGGUUAAUAAAUACUUACCAUGAUGAGUAAAGGCUCCGCAAUCUGACCCCAAAAGCAGCAGAAGUGAUUGCUUAGGGCCAAAUUUUCACUCUUAUUAUGCUGAACACCAUAUUCCUCUGCGAGCAGAGCAGCGUUAGCACCAAAAUAAAUGUGACUGCUUGCAAAUAAGGUGUUGGCCCCACUUCUGGCCUCAAGUUUUUAUGUUGCCAUCACUGUGAGAGCUCUGAAAAUUAGCAGAUGCUGCCAGUUCUUAAUAAAUACAUGACUAAAUUAUUCUGAAACAACAGAAAAAACAAACUAUGGAAAGAAUAAAAUUCAAGGAGACGCCUUUCUCUCCAAUUUCAACAUGCGGAAGAAAAUAAUUACAGGUUUUUGUUAAUUUAAGGAAACACUUUUUCUCCCAUCAGACAUGAGGUGUGAAUUAUGCAAAAAAAGAUUUGAACUUGACAGGGUUUACAUACUGCAGCCCCAACAACUAAUUUAAAUUUGAGAGUUACAGAAUGAAAAACCAGGUUUCCAAGAGCUUCUUAGAAAGAGCAGCAGCCACCACCUUCCACAAAGCCAGGCCAACAUACAUCAAGGUGGAGAGCAGCACAAUCAGCACUCUAUAAAAUCCUGCUCCUAACUCCCAGACUCCCAAAAUACAAUGGACGAGGAGGGCUUUCCAUACAAACAACAUACAUUUCAAAGCAACAGCACCAGGGGUCAGUGGGGAUGAUUAAAACACAUUAUCCACUUAUUGCAAAACAUCUACUGGCAAAAGGUGCCCAGAAAUCCAUAUGAAACCUCCAUCUUGCCACAACACUAAACAAAACUCUAAAUAAGAUGAGCAGAUAACUAUUUUUCAAUGGAGGCUGUCAAGCUGUUGCACAGUCAUUAAUAAUUUAAACUUCACCCCCUUCAUAGGAGCUCCAUUUCCUAAUUUGUGUAGGACAUAAACCAGAUUUUCCAUUUGAUUUCCCAACAGAAAAUUC